UUCCCUCCCUCCUGUGUAUACAAGCCCUGUGUUUUCCCCUGUCCUGUGCCAGUUCGUAUUCCUCCUUUUUGGUGUGUCUACUUACCAGCGUUCUUCAGAGCCUGUUUGUUUGCCUGUCUGUUUCUGACCUGGAUUGUUCCUCGACUCCUGAGAUUUGCCUGACCCCCUGUCUGUACUUCAGCCUGAUCAGCCACUCCCGUGUUCGACCUUUUUGCGCGGAUUCAUGUCGGGUUCCCCUCGUGUGCUCCUGACCCGGGCCGUGGGUUUCCUCCUUUGGAUUCAGACGUUGAGACAAAUCCAAUUAGACCAUUCACUGAGGAUUUCCCCAAAACCUUUUUAUGUGAACUGUAUUCCCUGUCUGUGUUUAAUAAACACAACUUAAUUGUA